UGCAGCUGUGAGAAUACAUAUAUACACACUCAUUCUCUCACUCACACCGAGGUUAUGGAAAACAACUGAAAACUACAUUACCCGAGCCUCCGGUGAGGUAACACAAGCCUCCAGUGAAGUGACCUGAGCCUCCAGUGAGACAACCCGAGCCUCCUCUGAGAUGACUUGAGCCUCCAGUGAGGUGAUCUGAGCCUUUGGUGAGGUGACCUGAGCCUCCAGUGAGGUAACAUGAGCCUCCAGUGAUGUCUCACGUAUCAGACUACAAGUUCUUCAGCUCUGGGACUCAAGCUGGCUUCCUCUCUCCUCAGCUUGCAGACAGCCUAUUGUGAGACUUUGUGAGCAUUCAGAUCACACCUCCCCUUUUACAGAUAACAUUGCUUGAAGGAAGACAGAACUAUGCUACUCAAGAAUCAUGACGAACAGAUCAUAUAGACAGGGGUUUGCAGUGUUGCCCAGACUGAAAUGCAGUUUUGUGACCUCAGCUCACCACAACCUCCACCUCCUGCUCCUGCCUCAGCCUCUUGAGUAGCUGGGAUUACAGGCACGCAACCACACCAAGCUAACGUUUGUACUUCAGUAGAGAAAAGGUUUCAUCCUUUUCGCCAGGCUGGGCUGAAACUCCUGACCUCAAGUUAUCUACAUUCUUUGGACUCCCAAAGUGUUAGGAUUGCAAGCAUGAGUCACCACACCUGGCUCCAACCCAGAUUUUUAAGGCUCUCCCAAGGAUAAUUUCCUUAAAGCACAAACUAGUUUAUGUCUGUUGAUUAACAUUCUUUUAUGAAUUUCUCCAGUUUUCAGAAUAAAAUAUUGUAUUUUACUUUUAUUUUCAGAAGAAGCAAAAUUCUUUGUGUAAUUGUGCCUGUUUAAGCUUUAGUCUCUUCUUGUUAGUCACCUAAAUAUGCCUGUAUGCUUUGGUCAACCUGGAAAUUUCCUUAUGACUUUUCAUACUGUACUACCCUCUAAUUGUAAUGCACUCCUGCUGAAG